rnacentral:lncRNA from 1 species
GGGGAGAGGAGGUGGGCUGAGGGGGCUGAUUUCUAUUUUUUCUUUUCUUUCUCUUUUCUUUCUCUUUUCUUUUUAUUUCAGUUUGAUAUUAUGCGCAAAUUAAUGAUUAAAUGAAAGAUCAAGCAAACCAUUCGUCAAACAAAAAUAAAUGCCUUCAAACAUGAUGCAAUGAUCAUUGUUCCCUUAGGGUUUAGCCUACUAGAUUAUAAUUACAUCUACAAAUAAAAAUAACCACUCUUCUUCUAUAGAAAAGAGAAAGAGGAGAUUGGGGAAGAUGAGAAGAGAGGAGUAACACCUGAAUUUGCGAAUAUGAGCAAAGAAAUUUUAUACCCCAAAUUCCGGGUGUUACAUGUGGCAUCGUCGUCUAGCACAUGUUGGGAUGAAGAACCUUCAUAAACUUCUAAAGGGAGAACAUGUGUUAGGACUAACAAAUGUUUGUUUCGAGAAAGAUAGACCUUAUGCAGCUUGUUAGGCAGGAAAACAAGUGGGGAGCACUCAUCACAACAAGAAUGUGAUGACAACAUCAAGACCACUGGAGCUACUACAUAUGGACCUCUUCGGACCCGUCGCCUACCUUAGCAUCGGAGGAAGUAUGGUCUUGUUAUUGUUGAUGAUUUUUCCCACUUCACUUGGGUGUUCUUUUUGCAGGAUAAAUCAAAAACCCAAGGGACCCUCAAGCGCUUUCUAAGACGGGCUCAAAAUGAAUUUGAGCUCAAGGUGAAAAAGAUAAGAAGCGACAACGGGUCUGAGUUCAAGAAUUUGCAAGUGGAGGAGUAUCUUGAGGAAGAAGGUGUCAAGCACGAGUUCUUCGCUCCCUAAACACCACAACAAAAUGGUGUGGUAGAGAGGAAGAACAGGACGCUUAUCGACAUGGUGAGAACGAUAAUUGGAGAAUUCAAGACGCUCGAGCGGUUUUGGUCGGAAGUUGUGAACAUAGCUUGCCACGCCAUAAACCGGCUCUACCUACAUCGCCUCCUCAAGAAGACCUCGUACGAACUUCUUACCGGUAACAAACCCAACAUCUCAUACUUUCGUGUAUUUGGGAGCAAAUGUUACAUUCUAGUGAAGAAAGGUAGAAAUUCUAAAUUUGCUCCCAAGGCAGUAGAAGGGGUUUUUACUAGGGUAUGACUCAAAUACAAGGGCGUAUAGAGUCUUCAAUAAAUCAUCGGGUUUAGUUGAAGUCUCUAGCGACGUUGUAUUUGAUGAGACUAAUGGCUCUCCAAGAGAGCAAGUUGAUCUUGAUGAUGUAGAUGAAGAUGAUGUUCCAACGGCCGCAAUACGCACGAUGGCGAUUGGAGAUGUGCGACCACAGGAACAACAGGAGCAAGAUCAGCCUUCUUCCUCAACUAUGGUGCAUCCCCCAACUCAAGAUGAUGGAUAGGUUCCUCAAGAAGAAGCGUGUGACCAAGGGGGAGCACAAGAAGAACAAGUUAUGGAGGAAGAAGCAUCACUGGCCCCUCCAACUCAACUCCGAGCGACGAUCCAAAGAAAUCGCCCUGUCGAUCAGAUUCUGGGUGACAUAAGCAAGGGAGUAACAACUCACUCACGUUUAGCUAAUUUUUGUGAGCAUUACUUGUUUGUCUCUUCUAUUGAUCCUUUCAGGGUAGAAGAGGCCUUGCAGGAUCCGGACUAGGUGUUGGCCAUGCAGGAAGAGCUCAACAACUUCAAGAGGAAUGAAGUUUAGAGCCUUGUGCCAUGUCCCAAGCAAAAUGUUGUGGAAACCAAGUGGGUGUUCCGCAACAAGCAAGACGAGCACGGGGUGGUGACAAGAAACAAGGCUCGACUUGUGGCAAAAGGUUAUGCCCAAGUCGCAGGUUUGGAUUUCGAGGAGACUUUUGCUCUUGUGACUAGGCUAGAGUCUAUUCGAAUAUUAUUAGCCUAUGCCGCUCACCACUCUUUCAGGUUGUUUCAAAUGUAUGUGAAGAGCACUUUCCUCAACGGGCCAAUCAAGGAGGAGGUGUACGUGGAACAACCCCCUGGCUUUGAGGAUGACAGGUAUCCCGACCACGUUUUUAAGCUCUCUAAGGCACUCUAUAGACUUAAGCAAGCCCCAAGAGCAUGGUAUGAAUGCCUUAGAGAUUUCUUAAUUGCUAAUGCUUUCAAGGUUGGGAAAGCCGAUCCCACUCUUUUCACUAAGACUUGUGACAAUGACCUUUUUGUGUGCCAAAUUUAUGUCGAUGACAUAAUAUUCGGUUCUACUAAUCAAAAGUCUUGUGAGGAGUUUAGCAGGGUGAUGACUCAAAAGUUUGAGAUGUCUAUGAUGGGCGAGUUGACCUACUUCCUUGGGUUCCAAGUGAAGCAACUCAAGGAUGGCACUUUCCUCUCCCAAACGAAGUACACUCAAGAUCUUCUCAAGAGGUUUGGGAUGAAGGAUGCCAAGCCCGCGAAGACACCGAUGGGAACCGACGGACGUGUCGACCUCAACAAAGGAGGUAAGUCCAUUGAUCAAAAGGCAUACCGGUUUGUGAUAGGUUCCUUGCUUUAUUUAUGUGCUAGUAGACCGGACAUUAUGCUUAGUGUAUGCAUGUGUGCUAGAUUUCAAUCCGACCCCAAGGAAUGUCACCUUGUGGCCGUUAAGCGAAUUCUUAGAUAUUUAGUUGCUACGCCUUGCUUCGGGAUCUGGUAUCCAAAGGGGUCUACCUUUGACUUAAUUGGAUAUUCAGACUCCGAUUAUGCCGGGUGCAAGGUUGAUAGGAAGAGUACAUCAGGGAUGUGCCAAUUCCUAGGAAGGUCCCUGGUGUCUUGGAGGUCAAAGAAACAAACAUCUGUUGCCCUAUCCACCACUGAGGUCGAGUAUGUUGCCGCAGGAUAGUGUUGCGCGCAACUACUUUGGAUGAGGCAAACCCUCCGGGACUUUGGCUACAAUCUAAGCAAAGUCCCACUCCUAUGUGACAAUGAGAGUGCAAUCUGCAUGGCGGAUAAUCCUGUUGAACACAGCGCACUAAGCACAUAGACAUCCGGCAUCACUUCCUGAGAGACCACCAGCAAAAGGGAGAUAUCGAGGUGUACUAUAUUAACACCGAGAACCAGCUAGCCGAUAUCUUCACCAAGCCUUUAUAUGAGAAAAGGUUCUGUAGGUUGCGUAGUGAGCUAAAUGUCUUAGAUUCGCGUAACUUGGAUUGAUCUAUAGCAUACAUGUGUUCUAUGCCUUUGAUCAUGUUACUUUAUGCAUUUAUGUAAUUUGUUACUUAUUUAUGGUGCUCAUGUUGUGCAAGGGAUCCCCGAACCUCACAAGUCCAUGUGUGAGUGAUGCACAUAUUUAGGGGGAGAUGUGCUACAACUUGACCCUUUGAAACUAAUCCGUUUGUUUGAGUAUACUUGAUGUAGUCUCAAAGGUGGAUUGAAUGGGAAAGGUGAACUUGGACCAUGCAAAGACUUCCACUGCACUCCGGUAUUAGUGUACUUAAUUCCAAGUUCAUUCGUAUACUCUUAUUGCCUUUUUGCUCUUAAUUGACAUUUUUUGGUGAGGCAAUGGGGUUAAAGGGCCAAGAAUAAUCCCGUUUUGGUGCUUAAUGCCAAAGGGGGAGAAAUUAAGGCCAAAGCAAGCAAAUGGAUCAGCUACCACUUGUGAAUUUUGAAAACAAUAGAGUUAGAGCUUUUGAUUUGCCAAAAUACUCUAAUUGCAAAAUUUUGUCUCUUAUGGGGGAGAAUUUUGAUAAUGGGAAAAAGGGGGAGUUUUUGGCUCUUGAUCAUUUUCACUCUUGGAUUAUCUCUCUUGAUGCCCAAACAAGUGAGUUUGAAUUAGAGAUAGGAAAAUGAAUUUGAUUUGCAAAAACAAACCAAGUGGUGGUAAAGAUUUAUCCAAAUAUGUCAAAACUUGUGCAAAGACAAUUUUGUUUUCAAUUGCAUUGAUGUUGCACUUCUUUUGGUUGCUUUUGGAUGUGUUGGCAUAAUUCACCAAAAAGGGGGAGAUUUAAAGGGAAAUGUGCCCUUGGGCAAUUUCUAUUAUGUUUUGGUGAUUAAGUGUCCAACACAUUUAAUUAAGUUCUAAUGUGCUAAAUGAAGAGAAAAGUGCAAAUCAAGACAAGAGGUAUGUUUCUAGACUUAGUACAUUGUUUUGAGUACUAACAUAUUGUGUCUAAGUGCUAGAAACAGGAAAAGAAAGAAUUGCAAAAGAGGUGGCUGUGUGCAGCCAACUUCAGCUCGGCUUGGCAUACCGGACUGUCCGGUGGUGCACCGGACAGUGUCCGGUGCGCCAGGCUAGUUCGCGUGAACAGGCCGCUCUCGAGACUCGACGGCGGCGUACGACUAUAAUUCACCGGACUGUCCGGUGGUGCACCGGACUGUCCGGUGAGUCGUCCGCGGCGAACUCGUCGCUCUCGGGAAGAGGAUCAGCAGCGUACGGCUAAAAUUCACCGGACUGUCCGGUGGUGCACCGGACUGUCCGGUGAGCCAACGGUUGUCUGCGCUAACGGUCGGUCGCGCAAUCUUCGCGCGACGCGUGGCAGCUCCAACGGUCGGCGGGGGGCACGGGACAGUGUCCGGUGCGCCAACCGGCCCAGAGCUGCAACGGUCGUCUGUGCCAGAAAAGGAAGGAGAUCGGCACCAGACCGUCUACAGUGACUGUCCGGUGGUGCACCGGACUGUCCGGUGUGCCACUCGAUAGAAGGCAAGGAUAGCCUUCCUCGUUGAUCUUCAACGCCUCCUAGCUGCCUUGGGGCUAUAAAAGGGACCCCUAGGCGCAUGGAGGAGCUACACAAGCUUACAAGAAACAUUCUAAUACUCCAAUACUCCAACUUUACGCAUUCGAUUCUUUGAGAUAGUGACUUGAGCUCCAUUUGAGUUGGGAACUCCGCGCGUUGUGUUUUGAGCUCGAGUUGUGACUUGUGUGCGUGAUUGUACUGCGAUUUGUGUCUUGUGUGUGUUGCUUAUCCCAACCUUACUCUGUGCUUUCAUUGUGAUCUUGUUGUAAGGGCGAGAGACUCCAAUCUUGUGGAGAUUCCUCGCAAACGGGAAUAAUCAUCUCAAGGAAAAACCGUGGUAUUCAAGUUGAUCGUCGGAUCACUUGAAAAGGGUUGAGUGCAACCCUCGUCCAUUGGGACGCCACAACGUGGAAGUAGGCAAGUGUUACUUGGCCGAACCACGGGAUAAAAUCGCGUGUCUCUUGUUAUUGCUCUCUCCUUGAUUGUCUGUGUUCUCAAGAGCUCGUUUCAAGCUACUUAGCCGUUCUAACUUUCAUAACUAAGUUUUGUGGCUAUCAGUGUUGAAUUUUACAGGAUCACCUAUUCACCCCCCCCCCUCUAGGUGCUCUCAAGCACGCAAUAGGAGACUGAACAGCAAAAAGUGCCAGCAGACCACACACACCUGCUCUUCACUAAACACCCAAAAGAAUCCUUGACCUAAAAAUUCCAGCACCAGGAACAAAAGCCUCAAGAUGUCUAGCACCGGCAAGCCUCCAGUACUCAACUUCAUCCAAAAAAAUGUCUUUAAGCCAUUAAUUGAAGGACUAACACCAUCAAAAACCACCUUAUUACGAUGAAGCCAUAAACACCAAGCCCCUAAGAUGAUGAUACUGUUAAAGCCUCUUCUUUUGGAUUUGUGCACUUGCUUACUUACUUUCGCUCACCAGUCAGUAAAAGCGGACCAUUAACCUUAAUAAUAUUCUAAAGUAGAAACCUCAUGCAUUGCAGGUCAAUGAUCCUACAGACAACACCACCUUCGAUCUUCAGCCUUUAGAUGCCAUAAACAUUUCUGUUCAUUGCAAGGUAUUUUCUGUAUAAGUCCUUGCUACAUGCUAAUUUUUUUAGUAAAUUCAUUUUUAUUAUCUCUACUAAUCCAUAUGUACGGACUGUGGGCGUCCACCCAGCUUCACCAAGCCUCCGCCCUUCCCCACCGCCCACGGCGCGCAGUUCCCGCUAAGGCUCCUCGCCCGCAAUGCGCCCUUCCCCACCGCCCGCGGCGCACAGUUCCCGCUAUGGCUCCUCACCCUCGGCCAUCUGCCUCCCCCACAACGCGCGUCUUUCCCCGCAGCGAACAUGACCGCGCCCCCCCCCCCCAAAUCCUGCCAUGGUCCAGGGCUACCGAAAGUGCACGACCCCCAAAUCCCGCCAUGGUCGAGCGUCGACAACGCCGACCUCGCCCCAGAUCGAUAGCGCCAACAUCUCCCCAAAUCCCAACAGCACCGAUAGCGCCGACCUCGCCCCAAAUCCCGACAGCGCCGACAUCGCUGACAGCACGCGGCCCCCAAAUCCCGCCAUCGCCCAGACAUCGCCCCAGAUCGAUGAUAAUCUGGCAGCCCACAACCCUGUCAUCCCCGACCAUGGCCCCAAACCUCGCCCUAGAUCAAUGCAGACCUACCAUCGACGCCGAUUUGGGUCCUCCUUAAAGACCAUGGCAGGACGCUCCUAAUCCUCGUCUUCUUUCGCUCUCCAAGGAAUACUAUUGUUGCGGCGUCAACAUUCCAAGGUAAUGUCUCUGUACUGUUUGGUUCUUUACUACGAUUCUAGCACUGUUGUAAACAUAAUUUAUCAGUUCAAACAGAAUGACUAGGUAAACAUAAUGUCUCUGUAUGCUUGAUUAUUUUUGGUUUGACUAGACUCCUUAAAGACCAUGUUUUUCAUACCCUGCGGAGUGAUCAUCCCGAUUUUAAUGCAUUUUGUUCUGUCUCAAGCCUUUUCCAAGCAAAACACUGAUGAUAACCUCAAAAUUUUCUCCAUUGUGGGUAGCAACUAUUGAACAGCCAAGAUAUCAACAACGAAGAAUAACCAAUUUCGAAUUCACCUCAAUCAACAAUAAGUAUGCACCACUCCUCUCAGGCCAUUUUCCAUCAUCAAUUCUCUCUCAUUUUUAUAAUGGGACAACUAUGAAAACUGAAAAUACAAAACUGAAAAUGGAUUAGUUUGCUGGAAUAUUAAGUUAAUGAUUAUGUCGGAGAGGAAAUCUCCGGCCGAGUGGCGGAAGCGCACAGGAUAAAGUCUGGACACGUGUUAGUACCGGACCCUUGCCUGUCCUUGACCUAGGCCAGGGUAUUCCCUGUCCCGGGACCUUGCUGUGGGUGGUCCGGACCUCACCCAGGGGGGGUCCGGAUCCCACCCAAGGGCUCCGGCUUGCUUACUUGGGGGUCCUAGGCCGUACUUCGGAGGUCCGGGUUGUGCGUAAGGGGUCCGGCGCCUUCUUAUGGAGGUUCGGACCCACUGAUAGUAUCUUGGAGUAUACCACCUCUUCUGGCCACGUGGCGUCCUUGGGGCCAUCCACGUGGCGGAGUCGGGUGUUGCCGUGGGUCUUGAGUAGCCGCCCGUGUCUGGGGCGAGCCGCGCUUGGACUCAUGUACGGUGCUUCUGUCACGCGAAUAAGGGAUAGCCGUGUGGGCUCUCUGCAGCGGGGUACCCUAGUUUCUUUAUAAGGCCAUAAAGGAAUUUUGUUCUCCGCUAUAAUGAAAAAGAGAGAAAAGAAAUAGGAAAUCUCCAUUUCCCUGUGGUCAUUUCAUUUGAUUUGGCAGCCACUGAGCAGUGACCACCAGCAGCUGACACGAGGACACAACAGAGAUAAGGCCCGCUCCGCCCGCAGUCGUCCCCAGCUCGCGCGACAUGGCGCCCGCCGCCCGGUGGUCCACGUCCCCUGUGCUCUUCCUCCUCCUGCUGCUCGCGGCGGCCACGGCGACGACGACCACUACGGCAAAGGAUGGGCAUCCGUCGCCGACGCCGUGGCCGGAGCGUUUCCACGCGGUGCUGUUCACGAACCUGACCAACUACACGGAAGCCUCCACGGGCCCGCCGCUGCGCGUGACGGACCUCUACUACGACUGGCCGCGGCGGCGGAACCUGAACCUGGUGCGGCACCAGCUGUCGGCCGACCCGCUGUACGACGUGGAGUGGAACAACGGCACCGGCUUCUACUUCGACUCCAAGGCGUGCCGCGUGGAGCAGUUCCCCGUGGGCGUGCUGCCGCCGUGGUGGCUCUCCGGCGGCGGCGCCGAGUACGUGGGCCGCCGCGUCGCGGGCGGGAUCGACUGCCACGUGUGGGGCAAGGCCGGCUUCAUCUUCUACUACGAGGAGGCGCGCACGGGGCGGCCCGUGCGCUGGGACUUCGUCGACGGUACUGUACUGUACACUGUACUGCAACGAUUUUUUAUUUAUUUAUUUUUAGGAUUGAUUUGUUUGCCAUGAAUGAGUAUAUCUGCACUGCAGUGACGGGGAUCCAGCAGUUCGUGAUGAGCUUCGAACCCGGAGCUGCGCUGGAGGACGACGCGCAGUGGCAGGCUCCUGCAUACUGCUUCCCGGACGACGACGAUGCCGCAAGGAGCAGUGGUGAGGAGGAAGCUGGGGUUGGGCUUGAGGCGGCGAGCAGAUUACUCAGGAAGCUAGCAGGAGCUGCAGCAACCUAUUGACUGUGUUGUGUUGUACUGUAGGAUUUAUGUACCGUAUUAAUUUCGAGCACAACAGAUAUACUUAUGUUCUUGUAGUACUACCUAAUUGCCUAGUUUCCUAUUGCUGGCUUGCUGCUCCUGUUGUAAACAAACAGAUAUACUUAGUAAAUUAUGAAAUCGUGCUGUCGGCUUCCGGAUCUCCACACACACUACUUUAGUUUCAGAAUAUAUGGGCACAGCUCAUACAAAAAGAAUCUCUAUAUCAUCCCACCUAUUCAGCAUAGCAUAGAUUAUUGCAGGGGUAUGACAAUUGUGCCACUGUUAUCAACCUAAUAAUACAUAACAGCAGGGAUUUAUCCCAGAUUUACAAGGCUGUUCUUCUGUUCAGUCCGCAGAUGAGAAGGUGUCCAGCCCUCAGAACCGGCAAAGUAGCGACCUGGGGUUCACCCUCCUCUCCUUGACGCCCGACGCAGCGGAAGCCUUCUUCAUCUCCUUGCUGCUCCUGAGAGAGGACCUCGGCCCCAGGCCCCCUCCGCGGCGGGCCGCAAAGUCGACGGCUGGCAUAGACCUCCUCACGGACUCGCCGCCGCCGCUCGUGGCGGUGUAGGCCUUCUUGGCGACGCGGCGCUUGGACAGCUCGACGGCGACACAGGGGUCCUUCGCCAUCGCCUCAGGUUCUACCGAGUACGUGGACGCAAACUCAUCAGAGUAGUAGUAGUAGGGGAAGCCCUGCUUGCGCUUGAGCCGCUCGUUGCGGCGCGCCGAGUAGGCGUCGUACAGCCUGCCGCGCACGAAGAGCGGGCCGCCGUCCGGCGUGCCCGCUGCCCUGGCGAUCGCCGCGAGGUUCAGCGCCACUAGCUCGUCGUGGGCGUCCGCGCCGGCCGGGAGGAGGUUCUCCUCCUCGAAACCCGACCUAGCUGCCGGGGGCGUCGGCGGUGGCGCCGCGGCGGGAAGGAAGUUCUCCUUCUCGCCCGCCUCCCUCGCUGGGGGCGACGACGACGCGGCCACGACGUGCGUCGGGGGCUGGAGCGCGGAGGUCACGCGCGCGCGCAUCGGGUUUGGUUCGCCGCGGACCAGCGACGGGAGGGCGGAGAUUGAAGCGCGCACCGGCGAAGGGAUCGCGCAGACGGACGCGCGCAUCGGGACCGCCGCCUGCUUCUUCGAUCCUGGAGAGUGAGCAGCGCGCGUCAGAUCGGGAAGCAUUGAAUCGGCGCACCAAGGGGGGAGGAUGGGUCUUCCUUCUCCCCACCAUAGCUACGCUGACAAUGGGGGGUCAGCCGGUCGUACCUGCAGGCGUUUGCACGGUGGAGGCCGGCACGAGGGGCGGACGCGGGCGGAGGCGGCGCGGGGAGACAGCGAGCGGCGGACGGCGGUCCAUGGGUCAGUCGGUCGGCCCGGGGAAGAUAUUGCUUCUUCUCGGCCUCCGGUCCUUUUUCCUUUCUCUGAUUCUCUCGGGUUUGGAAGACGAGCGGAGGCUCUUCCAUUCCAACGGUCGUCUUGCCGCUUGCGGUUGCGUCUUGAAUCAUUUCAUUUUUAAAAAAACAAACAAAGAAAGAAAAUUAUCCUGAGUUGCUGCGUCUGCCAGCGUUGUCACGGCCCGGCCCACGGCGCUGACCCCUGCCUGCUCUCAACUGCCCUUUGCGGCCUUCCCAUGUGUGCGGAGUCCCGCUGUUUAUGGCAUCGUAAUCACGACGAGUCCGCGAUUAGGGCAGCCGCAAUUAGAGAUGGCAAUGGAUACCCGCGACUCGAUAUCCGAUGGAUAUUUACUCAAUUGGGGUAUGUAUGUGAGCUAAAUAUUUUACCCGUAGGUUUAUUAUCGGGCAAAAAUCUUUAUCCAAUGGGUAAACGGGUAUUAAAACGUUCCAUCUUCACCCAUAUCCAUUAACCCAUGGGUAUAAAAUACCCAAUAUAAACUUAGCUCAAGCAUGAAUUUGGACUUUAGUCAUCUAUCUUUUUUUACUAUUUAACAACCUUUCAUGCCAUAAUCUCAUAGAAGGCUUAGCGACAAUUUAAUGACCAUGUAAUGAGACAUGUAAUGUGCUAUGUAGUACUGUCAUAGUGUUACUACUUUAUCCAAUUAUCUUUGGUGUGUUGAAUGGAUGACUAAAUGAUGUUAUUUAGAUGGAUAUACAUGACAUUUGUAUAAUAUAAUAUUUUAAUAAAUGUUUAAUUAUUGUGGGUACGGGUGACCCGAUGGGUGACCCAUACCCACGUGGGUAUGUGUACGGGGGUAAAUCCAUACCCACCAGUGUAUAUGGGUGACCCGAUGAGGUUAUUUUUUGUCGUGGGUAUGGGUAUGGUGUAGUAAUACCCGAUGGGUAUUUACCCAUUGCCAUCUCUAGCCGCAAUGAUAAAUCUUUGCAAUGGUGUAUUAUAGUAGAGAUAUAUAGUUAUUUUUAAUACUUAUAUAUACUCUCUAUACCACUUUAGUUUCUGCAUAUAGGCUUACUUCAGAUUUAUAGAUAACAACUCUCUCUUAUCAUUUAAUUUCUUGUCACAUAGGAUAGAUGCUAAUAUGGCCUCCUUAUAGUGAGUUGACUUGGCACCAUUGCGUCUGCCCUUACGGGUGUUUAAUAAGGCUAUUCACAAUGAUUGUUUACCAUCAUUAUGAUUUCAAGCAUAUUUAAUAGUGUGGCACAUAGAAUUUUUUGAUGAUAUGCACAACAAUUAAGAGAAUUGAGUUUCAUGGAUUGAAAUUAGUUUCAUGAGGAUGAAACCAUGUCAACUCGUUUCCAAGGUUUUGAAAAUCGCGUGAAAACCUUCAUUGAGAGUGGUUUGUUUCAUGUUCACAUAUUUUACUAUCUUCUAUUGGCCAUUGAGUUGCAACAUUUAAAUAGUAUGUUAGCCUAUGAAAUAGUGAAGUGAAAUAUUGUAUUAAGAGUCAUUGUUUCAUUCAUAAUUUCAUAACACUUUUGACGAUGUGCACAUAUAAUUUUUUGAUGAUAUAGCAUAGCAAUUAAGAGAAUUUAGUUUCAUGGAAUGAAAUUAGUUUCAUGAGGAUGAAACCAUAUCAACUCGUUUCCAAGGUUUUGAAAAUCGCGUGAAAACUGAAAGGGAAAUAGGGUUUAACCUUUUCCUAUAAAUAAUUUUGGUGGUUGAAUGCCCAACACAAAUAAUUAGAACUAUCUGAUUUGCUCUAAAUUAUAUAUUCUACAGGUGCUAAAGGUUCAAAACAAACCAAUAAAAAGAUCAAGUUAGGGUUCAAAAGAAAAGAGGAAAAAGAAACCGAAGAGAACCCUGGUCUGGCGCACCAGACUGUCCGGUGUACCAUCGGAUAGUGUCCGGUGCCCAGGGCCGUACGACUUCAAACUUGCCACCUUCGGGUUUCAGAAGAGCCGCUCCGCUAUAAUUCACCGGACUGUCUGGUGCACCAGCAGAGCAACGACUAGGUAGCGCAACGGUCGUCUGCAACGUGAAUAGUGAAGAACAGUGCGCGCAGAAGUCAGAGCAGCCGCCAUAGGCGCACCGGACAGUGCACAGUACCUGUCAGGUGUGGCACCUGAAAGGGAAAUAGGCUCACACCUUUUCCUAAUUGAUUUUGGUGGUUAAAUUGCCCAACACAAAUAAUUGGACUAACUAGUUUGCUCUAGAUUAUAAGUUCUACAGGUGCCAAAGGUUCAACACAAACCAAUAAAAAGUCCAAGAAAGGGUUCAAAUAAAAAGAGCAAAAAGACAACCAAAGGCUACCCUGGUCUGGCGCACCGGACUAUCCGGUGUGCCACCGGACAGUGUCUGGUGCACCACCGGACAGUGUCUGGUGCACCAGGGAGAUCAACUCCAAACUUGCCACCUUCGGGAAUUUGGGAAGCCACUCCGCUAUAAUUCACCGGACUGUCCGGUGUGCCAAGCGGAGCAACGGUCGCCAACGCAACGGUCGAGUUCAACGGUCGGCUGACAACGCUAUUGUCGGCGUUUCGAGACAGGGGGGUCCCUAAGCCGACGAGUGAGUGUGCUGCGUGCCCCAGCCCAGAUGGGUCGAGCGCGUGGGCGAGCGCGAAGGGGGGAGAGGCGAGGUGGCCGGAGUCGAGCGUGAGAGAGGUGGAAGUCCCGCGGCCUUCGUGUUCGUCCCGCGCCCAGGUCAGGUGCGCUUGCAGUAGGGGGGUUACAAGCGUCCACGUGGGUGAGGGAAGCGAGCGGCCCCAAGAGAGCGCCUGUCCCGUCCUCGGUCCCGCGCGGCCAACCUUCUCUAAGAAGGCCCUGGUCCUUCCUUUUAUAGUCGUAAGGAGAGGAUCCAGGUGUACAAUGGGGGGUAGCAGAGUGCUACGUGUCUAGCGGAGAGAGAGAGAGCUAGCGCCCUGGGUACAUGCCAAUGUGGCAGCCGGAGAGGUCUUGGCACCUUGCUGGCGUGAUGUCGUGGCUGUCGGAGGAGCGACGGAGCCUGGCGGAGGGACAGCUGUUGGAGCGGUCGAGUCCUUGAUGACGUCGCUCUGCUGCCGUAAGAGAGCUAAGAGCCGCCGUCGUCACAGAGCUUGGGGGGCGCCAUCAUUGCCCAUCCGGCGGAGCUGGCCAGAUGGGACGUCGGUCUUGUCCUUCGUGUCCCAAGUCGGCUCGGGGUAGGUUGGUGAUGGCGCUUCCUGUUGACGUGGCGGACCUGUGCCCUAGGCAGGGCGACGUGGGGGCUCCUCCGAAGUCGAGGUCGAGUCUGCCUUCCGUUGCCGAGGCCGAGCCCGAGCCCCCGGGUUGGGCGAGGCGGAGAUUGUUUGGCCGAGGCCAGGGCGGAGUCCGAGCCCUGGGGUCGGGCGAGGCGGAGAUCGUUUGGCCGAGGCCAAGGGCGGAGUCCGAGCCCUGGGGUCGGGCGAGGCGGAGAUCGUUUGGCCGAGGCCAGGGCGGAGUCCGAGCCCUGGGGUCGGGCGAGGCGGAGAUUCGCCGUCUUCCGGGUCUUAGCCCGAGUCCGAGCCCUGGGGUCGGGCGGAGCGGAGUUCGCCGUCUUCCGGGUCUUAGCCCGAGUCCGAGCCCUGGGGUCGGGCGGAGCGGAGUUCGCCGUCUUCCGGGUCUUAGCCCGAGUCCGGGCCCUGGGGUCGGGCGGAGCGGAGUUCGCCGUCUUCCGGGUCUUAGCCCGAGUCCGAGCCCUGGGGUCGGGCGGAGCGGAGUUCGCCGUCUUCCGGGUCUUAGCCCGAGUCCGAGCCCUGGGGUCGGGCGGAGCGGAGUUCGCCGUCUUCCGGGUCUUAGCCCGAGUCCGAGCCCUGGGGUCGGGCGGAGCGGAGUUCGCCGUCUUCCGGGUCUUAGCCCGAGUCCGAGCCCUGGGGUCGGGCGGAGCGGAGUUUCCCAUGGCGCCUUUGGCAGGGCCCGACUGCCUGUCAGACUCACUCUGUCGAGUGGCACUGCAGUCGGAGUGGCGCAGGCGGCGCUGUCCUUCUGUCAGACUGGUCAGUGGAGCGGUGGAGUGACGGCGGUCACUUCGGCUCUGCCGGGGGGGCGCGCGUCAGGAUAAAGGUGUCAGGCCACCUUUGCGUUAAAUUCUCCUGCAACUUGGUCAGUCGGUGUGGCGAUUUAGUCAGGAUUGCUUCUGAGCGAAGCCAAGGCCUCGGACGAGCCGGUGAUGUGUCCGCCGUAAAAAGGGGGGCCUCGGGCGAGACGGAAGUCUCUCGAGGUCGGCUGCCCUUGGCCGAGGCUAGGCUCGGGUGAAGCGUGAUCGAGUCACUCGUGUGGACCGAUCCCUGACUUAAUCGUACCCAUCAGGCCUUUGCAGCUUUAUGCUGAUGGGGGUUACCAGCUGAGAAUUAGGCGUCUUGAGGGUACCCCUAAUUAUGGUCCCCGACAGUAGCCCCCGAGCCUCGAAGGGAGUGUUAGCACUCGCUUGGAGGCUUUCGUCGCACUUUUUUGCAAGGGGACCAGCCUUUCUCGGUUGCAUUUCGUUCCGGUGGGUGCGCGCGAGCGCACCCGCCGGGUGUAGCCCCCGAGGCCUCGGAGGAGUGGUUACACUCCUUCGAGGUCUUAAUACCUUGCGUAAUGCUUCGGUUGGUCUGGUCGUUCCCUCAUGCGAACUGGCCAUAGCCCGGGUGCACGGUCGGGGCCCAAGCUCUCGGGCUGGUAUGUUGACGCUGUCAACGGUUCGGCCGGAGCCGGUUUUUGCGAGAGCAGCCCCCGAGCCUCUGCACAGGGCGAGAGGACGAUCAGGGACAGACUCGGCUUUUUACAUACGCCCCUACGUCGCCUUUCCGCAAGGAGGAGGGGGGAGUGCGCCAUGUUACCCUCGAUGGGCACCGAACAUGGUGUCUCCGGUGAGCUGCAAGCGGGUAAUCCGAGUGGACGUCCGUGCCCCGUUCGUUGGGUGUCGGCUAGGGGCCCAGAGGCACGCCCAAAAGUACCUGCGGGUGAUUUGCCGGACCCGGUCCCCUGGCGACGGGGUCCGAGGGCUCGAUGCCUCCCUCCGGUGGGAUUCCGUUACAAGAUCGUUCCCGCUGGUCUCGGAAAUGUCCUAGGGUACCUCGGGAGCGCAGCCCGAGCCUCGGUUAUGUAUCGAACGUACCCCUGGUCAUCCCUCGCUCGGUGUCUGAGGCGACUGUGAACCCUUCGGGGGCCAGCCUUCGAACCCCUGAUCAGUAAUGGGCGCGGAGCCCGAGUAGCCUGAGGCGGCCAUGGAACCCUUCGGGGGGCUGGCCUUCGAACCCCUGACCAGUAGUGGGUGUCGGGCCCACGCGAUCUGAGGCGACUGUUGAACCCUUCGGAGGGCCAGUCUUCGAACCCCUGAUCAGUAGGGGGGGCUCGGAGCCCGGUUCCUUCACGGAGAAGGGUCCUUUUCGGGGUAUCCCCCUUUCCCGGUCCCUGUUGCAAGAGAUAGAGAAAGAGGAAAAAGGAAAAGGAUACGAAAUUGAACGACGUGGCGUACCUCUUUUUGACGCGGUUAUUACGGCGAAGGCGAAGCGUCGCGCGCUUCUCCCGUCAGAGGCGCCGCGUGUCCCGCCGCGGAGUUAAUGCGACGGGGCGUGUAGUUGGCGGGGCGGCCGUUGCGCGUGCGCGAUCCGUUCGAGGAACGGGUCACGGGUGCACCGUCUUCACGCCGUGAGAGGAGGCUCUCUUGUUGUCCCAGGAUGAGACGUGAGCCUGGCUGACGACGUGACUGCUGCGCCCGCCCGCCUGCCACCGCCAUUACUGCCGGCCCACUUUCGGUCGCUUUGACCGACGCGCCAGGCUGGCGCUGCUGGGUCGCCUCGAGUCGCGGCAUAGGCUCCGCAACCGAAGAGGCGCGAUGGUGGCACGAGUGGCGGUGCGGUUGCUUGCAUGCAGCAACUGGCGCGCCGAUUGCUUGACGCGUGGGUCUGGGCUUCCAAGCUGGCGUGUCAGAAGUCGGAGAAGCGCAUCCACCUGGCGCGGUUGCAUGCCGCCUGCAUGGCUGCCUGCCCCUUCCGCCCGUUGGUCUGGGCAAAAGUGGGGGUCGCUUGUAACCGCUGGGCGGUCGUGCGCACCACGCGCGGCGGUUUGGCUUCUUCUGCCCUGAGCCGGUUUGCAUGACAUGCGGGACCCAGCCCCCGAGUCGCAGGGGAGGGCCUUGGAGCGUGUUGUAGUAGACUUAGCCCGCGGCGUCUGGGGGCGCACGUAGGGAGAGUUGCCUUUAAAAGGAGGGAGACUCCUUUCAGAAGGCAACCAUGUCUUCUUCCUCCCUUAUGCGUCGUGUCUUUCCAUCUUCCAAGCCCCCGGAUGGGGGGUAUCCGCCGCCUUUCCGCCUCCUCGUUGGAGGAACGCAACUCCAUGGGAGUUGGUACCUCUCAGCCAUCGUUCGGCUUCAAGGAUUUUCAUCAUGCAGCCCGGUUGCUCCCCUCCACCGGCGGUCACCCGAGAUGAUGACCUCCGGCUUGAUGGUGGGGGAAAGCGAGCCGGGCUGCGGCCUCUGCCCCUCCCUCAGCCUCAAGGAUUUUCAUCACCAGGGCUGGGGAGGGGAGUGCGCCGAGUUGAGGUCGGCCCCCGCGUGGGCGGCGGCCCGCUCCUUCACUCAGUGAUCGGAGGGAAGGGCGGCCGUCGUCCGUGGCGCUGGCAGCUGCAGCGUGCCUGGCUUUCGGGCGCGAGUGGCUUCGGAGCCGCUCGCGGUGCUGACAUCCGCCACGGCAGCUUGAAGAGGUUCUGCUGCCGGCGAGAUAGCUGGGGCCGGCCACGGACUGACCUCCAACUCUACGGCCUUCUGCCCGUCCUUGCCUUACGAGUUUUGGCAUGGGCGGGGGCCUCCUGGCAGCGGCAUCUAGCCUGAGGUCAGCGCUGCCGCUGCUUGGCCCCCCGGAGCAGAAGUCGUCGUCGUCGCCGCUGCUGGAGCAGGUGACAGCGCGCCGUUCGUCGGCCUUCCGUUGCUCCGCAGGCCUUCCCCCUCGGAGUGGGGUUGUUCGUACCUGCGGAGGGGGAACCGGAGUUCCGUUUGUAAUGGCAUCUUCGAAUGCCAGUGUUUUUUGUUCAUUGUGGCUGUCGGGGCCUGAACAUGUAUGUAAUUUCGGCACGGAGCCGUGUUUUUUCCUCAUUUUCGAGCACUAAAUCUCGCCUGUUGAUUAUCUGAACCGCUUUGCCAAGCAUGAGUCGCCCCGUGUCAAGGUGACGAGUGAGGUAUCCGUAUCCCGGAGGCGUAGGAAUCCCUCGGCCCGUUCGGCCUUGUUGUCUGGGGCUCCUCUAGCUUAGUUAAAGAGACCCCUCGGCCGCCCUUCGAUGAGCCGAGGCCAGGGGUAGCGAUAUCAGUAUGAACAGAGGCGGAGUUGGCUCGAGAAUGGGAACCUGGUUGGCCGGAGCCUAGCCGUGUUGUCCGUCAGCAGAGCCGACGCCAAAGUCGAUCAGCCGAGGCCUCGGGUCGGGCUGGCGCCCUUGGAAGCCGGCUGGCCGAGGCCCCAGGGGUAACCGGCCGAGCCGCCUGCUCGGGCCGGAUUCCCGGAGGAGUCCCUGGACCGCGUCGCCGUCCGAGGCUGGGUUGGACUUUGCUGAAGACGCCGUCGAUGCCGAGGGUGCUACGGCUCCCUUCAGCGUGAAGACCCGAGCCUGCAGGAUCAGAUCGUCUUGUAGCGUGUGCCUUCUGCGGCCACCGAGGCCAGAAAACACACCCUCGCCGUGCUUGCGAAGCUGCGUCUUUUUUCCUCUUGUUUCGAGCAUCUGGACUUUCUGUCGGUAAUAGGGAUGUUUGUGUGAGCGAGAGUUGCUUCUCGUGGAAGGGACGAGUGAGGUAUCCGUAUCCCAGAGGCGUGGGAAUCCCUCGGCUCGGUCGGCCUUGCCGCUUACGCGUACUUUCACCCGUCCAUGAGGCCCUGUCCCCGACUUAGUCGAGAAAGCUUGAAGGACUGCUUCGGCAGGAGAGCUUCCGAACGUGAAGACUUGUUCGGUCCACGGAGUCGCUUUAUCCGAGCGCGAGUUACUUAUCGCAGAAGGUGAUGAGUGAGGUAUCCGUAUCCCGGAGGCGUAGGAGUCCCUCGGCUCGGUCAGCCUUGGCUGCUUACGUGUACUCCGUCGUUUCCAGGAUCCGCUUUCCGAAGUAGUCAAGAGGCACGAAAGAAAUCCUGCUAAAAAGAGAUCCUUUUUCGAGGAAAAAUUCGACGCAGAGGGGGUCUCCCCCCUUUUAGCCCCCGAGGGAGGGUCGGGCUUUGCCGAGGCUAGGCCGACCCUUCCUUGACGACUAAACUUUGCGCAGGUGCGAGGUAUAUGGACAACUUGGAAACAUCUUAAGGGUAGAAGCGACGUAGCUGUUUGAUGUUCCAAGCGUUGCCGUAGAUCUUGCCUUGAUUGUUGGCCAGCUUGUACGUUCCGGGCUUCAGAACUUUGGCGAUGACGAAUGGCCCUUCCCAGGGGGGCGUGAGCUUGUGCCUCCCUCGGGCGUCUUGCCGCAGCCGAAGCACCAGAUCGCCCACCUGGAGGUCUCGGGACCGGACCCCUCGGGCGUGGUAGCGUCGCAGGGACUGCUGGUACCGCGCCGAGUGUAGUAAGGCCCUGUCCCGAGCCUCCUCCAGCUGGUCCAGCGAUUCUUCUCGGCUAGCUUGGUUGCUUUGAUCGGUGUAGGCCCUCGUCCUCGGGGAGCCGUAUUCCAGGUCAGUGGGCAAGAUAGCUUCAGCUCCGUAGACCAGGAAAAACGGCGUGAAACCCGUGGCACGACUCGGCGUCGUCCUUAGGCUCCAGACCACCGAGGGGAGUUCCUUCAUCCACCGCUUGCCGAACUUGUUGAGGUCGUUGUAGAUCCGAGGCUUGAGCCCUUGUAGAAUCAUGCCGUUGGCACGCUCUACUUGCCCAUUCGACAUGGGAUGAGCCACGGCGGCCCAGUCCACCCGGAUAUGGUGAUCUUCGCAAAAAUCCAAGAAUUUUUUGCCGGUGAACUGGGUACCGUUGUCGGUGAUGAUGGAGUUCGGGACCCCGAAGCAAUGGAUGAUGUUGGUGAAGAACGCCACCGCCUGCUCGGACCUGAUGCUGUUCAGAGGUCGGACCUCGAUCCACUUGGAGAAUUUGUCGAUGGCGACCAGCAGGUGCGUGUAGUCCCCGGGCGCCUUCUGCAAGGGACCGACGAGGUCCAGACCCCAUACAGCGAAGGGCCAGGUGAUGGGUAUUGUCUGCAGAGCCUGAGCGGGCAGGUGGGUCUGCUUCGCAUAGAAUUGGCACCCUUCGCAGGUGCGGACAAUUCUGGGGGCGUCAGCCACCGCCGUUGGCCAGUAGAAGCCUUGUCGGAAAGCAUUCCCGACAAGGGCUCGGGGUGCUGCGUGAUGGCCGCAAGCCCCCGAGUGUAUUUCUUGCAGCAGUUCCCGACCUUCGGCGAUGGAGAUGCAUCGCUGGAGGAUGCCCGAGGGGCUGCGAUGGUAGAGCUUCUCUUCAUCGCCCAGCAAGUCGAACGACAUGGCGCGUCGCGCUACCCGCCGAGCCUCGACUUGGUCGGGGGGUAGCUCUCCUCGGCGAAGAUACUGCAUGUACGGGGCCUGCCAAUCUCGAUCUGGCGUGGCCCCGCUCUGCUCUUCCUCGACGUCCAGUGCCUCGCCCUCGGGGGCCGAGGGUACCUCGGGCUGUGCCGAGGGUGCCUCGGGCUGAGCCGAGGGUACCUCGGGCUCGGGCGCGUCGUCGAGCUUGACAGAGGGUUGAUGCAGAUCCCGGGAGAAGACGUCCGGGGGGACCGUCGUUCGCCCCGAGGCUAUUUUAGCCAGCUCGUCUGCGGUUUCGUUGUAGCGCCGAGCGAUGUGGUUGAGCUCGAGCCCGAAGAACUUGUCUUCCAGGCGCCGAACCUCGUCGCAGUAGGCCUCCAUCUUCGGGUCGCGGCAGUGGGAGUUCUUCAUGACUUGGUCGAUGACGAGCUGCGAAUCACCGCGGGCGUCGAGGCGUCUGACCCCUAGCUCGAUGGCGAUCCGCAACCCGUUGACAAGAGCUUCGUACUCGGCCACAUUGUUGGACGCCGGGAAAUGGAGGCGCAGCACGUAGCGCAAGUGCUUCCCGAGGGGCGAGAUGAAGAGCAGGCCCGCGCCGGCUCCUGUCUUCAUCAGCGACCCGUCGAAAAACAUGGUCCAGAGCUCCGGUUGGAUCGGAGCCGUCAGCAACUGGGUGUCGACCCAUUCGGCCACGAAGUCCGCCAACACCUGGGACUUGAUGGCCUUCCGAGGGGCGAACGAGAUCGUUUCGCCCAUGAUUUCCACCGCCCACUUUGCGAUCCUGCCCGAGGCUUCUCGGCACUGGAUGAUCUCCCCCAGGGGGAAGGAUGACACCACAGUUACCGGGUGAGACUCGAAGUAGUGUCGCAGCUUCCGCCUUGUCAGGAUCACUGCAUACAGCAGCUUUUGAACUUGUGGGUAGUGGAUCUUGGUCUCGGACAGCACUUCGCUGACGAAGUAGACCGGCCUCUGAACGGGCAAUGCAUGCCCUUCCCCUUGCCUCUCGACCACGAUCGCGGCGCUAACCACCUGAGUGGUCGCGGCGACGUAGACCAAGAGGGCUUCUCCAUCCGCCGGGGGCACCAAGACAGGCGCCUUUGUAAGGAGCGCCUUCAGGUUGCCGAGGGCUUCCUCGGCCUCAGGGGUCCAAGCGAAACACUCGGCCUUCCUUAAGAGGCGGUACAGAGGCAGACCUCUUUCGCCGAGGCGCGAGAUGAAGCGGCUCAGGGCCGCGAGGCAUCCCAUGACCCUCUGUACACCUUUUAAGUCCUUGAUGGGUCCCAUGCUGGUGAUGGCCGCGAUCUUCUCCGGGUUGGCUUCGAUGCCUCGCUCGGAGACGAUGAACCCUAGGAGCAUGCCUCGGGGCACCCCGAAGACACACUUCUCAGGAUUGAGCUUGACUCCUUUCGCCUUGAGACAUCGGAAUGUCACUUCAAGGUCGGAGAGGAGGUCGGAAGCCUUCCUUGUCUUGACUACGAUGUCAUCGACGUAGGCCUCGACUGUGCGACCGAUGUGUUCGCCGAACACAUGGUUCAUGCACCGCUGGUACGUCGCGCCCGCAUUCCUCAAACCGAACGGCAUGGUGACGUAGCAGUACAUGCCGAACGGCGUGAUGAAAGAAGUCGCGAGCUGGUCGGACUCUUUCAUCCGGAUCUGGUGAUACCCUGAGUAGGCAUCGAGGAAGGACAGGGUUUCGCACCCAGCGGUGGAAUCCACGAUUUGAUCGAUGCGAGGCAGAGGGUAGGGAACCUUCGGACAUGCUUUGUUGAGACCAGUGUAGUCUACACACAUCCGCCAUUUCCCCCCUUUCUUCCUCACAAGCACAGGGUUGGCAAGCCAUUCGGGAUGGAAUACCUCUUUGAUGAACCCUGCUGCCAUUAGCUUGUGGAUCUCUUCGCCAAUCACUCUGCGCUUCUCCUCGUCGAAUCGGCGCAGAGGCUGCCUGACGGGUCGGGCUCCGGCCCGAAUAUCCAGCGAGUGCUCGACGACAUCCCUCGGUAUGCCGGGCAUGUCCGAGGGACUCCACGCAAAGACGUCGGCGUUUGCACGGAGAAAGUCGAUGAGCACUGCUUCCUAUUUGGGGUCGAGCCCGGAACCGAUCCGGAUCUGCUUGGUGGUGUCGCCACUGGGGUCAAGAGGGACGACCUUAACCGUCUCCGCUGGCUCGAAGUUGCCGGCAUGGCGCUUCACGUCUGGCACCUCCUUGGAGAGGUUCUUCAGGUCGGCGAUGAGGGCCUCGGACUCGGUGAGGGCCUCGGCGUACUCCACGCACUCCACGUCGCAUUCGAACGCGUGUUUGUACGUGGGGCCGACGGUGAUGACCCCGUUGGGGCCCGACAUCUUGAGCUUCAGGUAGGUGUAGUUGGGGACGGCCAUGAACUUCGCGUAGCAUGGCCUCCCUAGUACGACGUGGUAGGUUCCUCGGAACCCGACCACCUCGAACGUCAGGGUCUCCCUUCGGAAGUUGGAGGGCGUCCCGAAGCAGACGGGGAGGUUGAGUCGCCCGAGGGGCUGGACGCGCUUCCCAGGGAUGAUCCCGUGGAAGGGCGCAGCGCCUGCUCGGACGGAGGAUAGAUCGACGCGCAGGAGCUUGAGGGUCUCGGCGUAGAUGAUGUUGAGGCAGCUGCCCCCAUCCAUCAGGACCUUGGUGAGCCUGACAUUGCCGACAACGGGGUCGACGACGAGCGGGUAUUUCCCCGGGCUCGGCACAUGGUCGGGGUGGUCGGCCUGGUCGAAGGUGAUGGGCUUGUCGGACCAGUCUAGGUAGACUGGCGCCGCCACCUUCACCGAGCAGACCUCCCGGCGCUCUUGCUUGCGAUGCCGAGCCGAGGCAUUCGCCGCAUGCCCUCCAUAGAUCAUGAAGCAGUCGCGGACCUCGGGGAACUCUCCUGCUUGGUGAUCUUCGUUCUUGUCGUCGUCGCGGGCCCUGCCACCCUCGGCGGGUGGCCCGGCCCUGUGGAAGUGACGCCGAAGCAUAACGCACUCCUCGAGGGUGUGCUUGACGGGCCCCUGAUGGUAAGGGCACGGCUCCUUGAGCAUCUUGUCGAAGAGGUUUGCACCUCCGGGGGGCUUCCGAGGGUUCUUGUACUCGGCAGCGGCGACAAGGUUCGCGUCAGCAGCGUCGCGUUUCGAUUGCGACUUCUUCUUGCCUUUCUUCUUGGCGCCGCGCGGAGCAGACGCCUCGGGAGCCUCUUCCGAUGGGCGGCCCUGGGGCUGCUUGUCCUUUCGGAAGAUAGCCUCGACCGCCUCCUGGCCAGAGGCGAACUUGGUGGCGAUGUCCAUCAGCUCGCUCGCCCUGGUGGGGGUCUUGCGACCCAGCUUGCUCACCAGGUCGCGGCAAGUGGUGCCGGCGAGGAACGCGCUGAUGACAUCCGAGUCGGUGAUGUUGGGCUGCUCGGUGCGCUGCUUCGAGAAUCGCCGGAUGUAGUCCCGGAGCGACUCCCCCGGCUGUUGCCGGCAGCUUCGAAGGUCCCAGGAAUUCCCGGGGCGCACGUAUGUGCCCUGGAAAUUGCCAGCGAAGGCCUGGACCUAGUCGUCCCAGUUGGAGAUCUGCCCCGGAGGCAGGUGCUCCAACCAGGCGCGGGCAGUGUCGGAGAGGAACAGGGGGAGGUUACGGAUGAUGAGGUUGUCGUUGUCCGUCCCACCCAGUUGGCAGGCAAGGCGGUAGUCCGCGAGCCACAGUUCCGGUCUCGUUUCCCCCGAGUACUUCGUGAUAGUAGUCGGGGGUCGGAACCGGGUCGGGAAUGGCGCCCGUCGGAUGGCCCGACUGAAGGCCUGCGGACCGGGUGGUUCGGGCGAGGGACUCCGAUCCUCCCCGCUGUCGUAGCGCCCCCCACGCCUGGGGUGGUAGCCUCGGCGCACCCUUUCGUCGAGGUGAGCCCGAUGGUCGCGUCGAUGGUGCUCGUUGCCGAGGUGGCCCGGGGCCGCAGGCGCGGUGUUGCGCGUGCGCCCGGUGUAGACCGAGGCUUCCCGCAUGAAUCGGGAAGUCGCGGCGUGAGGUUCCGAGGGGUAUCCUUGCCUUCGGGAGGCAGUGCUCUCGGCCCGUCGGGCCGCAGCGCCUUACAGGAGAUUCUUGAGCUCUCCCUGGAUUCGCCGACCCUCGGUGGUUGAUGGUUCCGGCAUCGCGCGGAGGAGCAUCGCUGCGGCUGCCAGGUUCUAACCAACCCCGCUGGAUGCGGGCGGCGGCCUGACCCUGACAUCGUUGGCGACGCGGUGCCGGAGACCUUGGGGCAGGUGACAUAUUUCUCCGGCCAAGGGUUGGCCCGCCCAUGCCUGUCCGACGUCCCGACGGAUCGGCUCAAGCGCUCCUGUUCCCUCGUUGAGCCUGGCCUGCGCCUCGCGGACUUGCUCGAGUUGUGGGUCGUAACCCCCCGCCGGAGCGGGGACCACAGCUAGCUCCCGUGGGGUGUCGGCGCGAGGCACCGGCCUAGGAAGAUCACCGUCCUCCGGCAUGCCGAGAUGGUUGCCUUCGGAGGGAUCCCCUAGCUCGAUGUGGAAACAUUCGCGGCUUGGGCCGCAGCUCUCGUCGCCAAGGCUGCGGCUUCCGUCGGAACAGUCGGAGAGGCAGUAGUCACAUGCGGUCAUGAAGUCCCGCACGACACUGGGGUUGCCAAGUCCGGAGAAAUCCCAACAGAUGCUGGGAUCGUCAUCUUCCUCGGACCCAGAGGGCCCGUAGGUCGAGACGUCCGUCAGCCGGUCCCAAGGCGACCGCAUACGAAACCCCAGUGGGGUUGCACUCGCCUCAAUGAGAGCGCCCGCCAAAACGAGAUCGUUUGGCGGGUUGAGGCCGAGUCGAAAUGACGCAAGAUGGGAGUUAGUUGGUACCUUUUGGUCGACGAGGAGCGACGUAGUCACAUCGGGGACUGGUUGCACCGUCAUCUCAGGUACGAGGGCGACGUCCUGCAGGCUUUCCGCGAGCGCGCUGGCGUCGUCUUCUUGUUCGGGGUCGGCGUGUCGCGGGGGGACGGCGCUUGCCUCCGUCUUGAACGCGAGGUCGACGUCCGGCGUGCCUUCCGUCGGGGCGUCGGGGGCGUCGAUUCGCUCGACGGCCAAUGAAGCGCGGCCUCCCGCCUGGCCUUGACGGCCCCGCCUCCUCCUCCGUUGGCGGGGGAGAGAACGGAGCGAGCUCGAAUGUUGCUCUUCCACCACGCGGGGAAGAUGUCGUCGAUUCCGCCGCCGGCGGGCGGGCUGUCGGCCGCCAUUGUCGUCGUCGCGCGGCGGUGGAAGAAGUAUCAUGUCGUAGCUGCCGUCGAAGGACAUGAACUCAAGAGUCCCGAAACGAAGCACCGCCCCGGGCCGGAGAGGUUGCUGGAGACUGCCCAUCUGGAGCUUGACGGGGAGCUGUUCGUCAGCACGCAGCAGGCCCCUACCUGGCGCGCCAACUGUCGGCGUUUCGAGACAGGGGGGUCCCUAAGCCGACGAGUGAGUGUGCUGCGUGCCCCAGCCCAGAUGGGUCGAGCGCGUGGGCGAGCGCGAAGGGGGGAGAGGCGAGGUGGCCGGAGUCGAGCGUGAGAGAGGUGGAAGUCCCGCGGCCUUCGUGUUCGUCCCGCGCCCAGGUCAGGUGCGCUUGCAGUAGGGGGGUUACAAGCGUCCACGCGGGUGAGGGAAGCGAGCGGCCCCAAGAGAGCGCCUGUCCCGUCCUCGGUCCUGCGUGGCCAACCUUCUCUAAGAAGGCCCUGGUCCUUCCUUUUAUAGUCGUAAGGAGAGGAUCCAGGUGUACAAUGGGGGGUAGCAGAGUGCUACGUGUCUAGCGGAGAGAGAGAGAGCUAGCGCCCUGGGUACAUGCCAAUGUGGCAGCCGGAGAGGUCUUGGCACCUUGCUGGCGUGAUGUCGUGGCUGUCGGAGGAGCGACGAAGCCUGGCGGAGGGACAGCUGUUGGAGCGGUCGAGUCCUUGAUGACGUCGCUCUGCUGCCGUAAGAGAGCUAAGAGCCGCCGUCGUCACAGAGCUUGGGGGCGCCAUCAUUGCCCAUCCGGCGGAGCUGGCCAGAUGGGACGUCGGUCUUGUCCUUCGUGUCCCAAGUCGGCUCGGGGUAGGUUGGUGAUGGCGCUUCCUGUUGACGUGGCGGACCUGUGCCCUAGGCAGGGCGACGUGGGGGCUCCUCCGAAGUCGAGGUCGAGUCUGCCUUCCGUUGCCGAGGCCGAGCCCGAGCCCCCGGGUUGGGCGAGGCGGAGAUCGUUUGGCCGAGGCCAGGGCGGAGUCCGAGCCCUGGGGUCGGGCGAGGCGGAGAUCGUUUGGCCGAGGCCAGGGUGGAGUCCGAGCCCUGGGGUCGGGCGAGGCGGAGAUUCACCGUCUUCCGGGUCUUAGCCCGAGUCCGAGCCCUGGGGUCGGGCGGAGCGGAGUUCGUCGUCUUCCGGGUCUUAGCCCGAGUCCGAGCCCUGGGGUCGGGCGGAGCGGAGUUCGCCGUCUUCCGGGUCUUAGCCCGAGUCCGGGCCCUGGGGUCGGGCGGAGCGGAGUUCGCUGUCUUCCGGGUCUUAGCCCGAGUCCGAGCCCUGGGGUCGGGCGGAGCGGAGUUCACCGUCUUCCGGGUCUUAGCCCGAGUCCGAGCCCUGGGGUCGGGCGGAGCGGAGUUCGCCGUCUUCCGGGUCUUAGCCCGAGUCCGAGCCCUGGGGUCGGGCGGAGCGGAGUUCGCCGUCUUCCGGGUCUUAGCCCGAGUCCGAGCCCUGGGGUCGGGCGGAGCGGAGUUUCCCAUGGCGCCUUUGGCAGGGCCCGACUGCCUGUCAGACUCACUCUGUCGAGUGGCACUGCAGUCGGAGUGGCGCAGGCGGCGCUGUCCUUCUGUCAGACUGGUCAGUGGAGCGGUGGAGUGACGGCGGUCACUUCGGCUCUGCCGGGGGGGCGCGCGUCAGGAUAAAGGUGUCAGGCCACCUUUGCGUUAAAUGCUCCUGCAACUUGGUCAGUCGGUGUGGCGAUUUAGUCAGGGUUGCUUCUGAGCGAAGCCAAGGCCUCGGGCGAGCCGGUGAUGUGUCCGCCGUAAAAAGGGGGGCCUCGGGCGAGACGGAAGUCUCUCGAGGUCGGCUGCCCUUGGCCGAGGCUAGGCUCGGGUGAAGCGUGAUCGAGUCACUCGUGUGGACCGAUCCCUGACUUAAUCGUACCCAUCAGGCCUUUGCAGCUUUAUGCUGAUGGGGGUUACCAGCUGAGAAUUAGGCGUCUUGAGGGUACCCCUAAUUAUGGUCCCCGACAGCUAUAGUGCGCGGACUGCGCGCGCAGAAGUCAGAGCAGACGUAGAUGGCACACCGGACAGUGAACAGGACCUGUCCGGUGCACCACCGGAUUGUCCGGUGGCCCACAUGUCAGAAGCUCCAACAGUCGAACCCUAACGGUUGGGUGACGUGGCUGGCGCACCGGACAGUGUCCGGUGGCGCACCGGACUGUCCGGUGCGCCCUUCAACAUCAGAGUUUCCCAACGGCCAUUUUGGUGGUUGGGGCUAUAAAUACCCACUCUUCAAGGCAUCCAAGCAUUCACUACUCCUCAUUCAAUACAAGAGCAAUACACAACACUCCAAGACACAAAUCAAAGCCUCCGAUCAAAUCAAAGUCCACAAUUCAACUCUAGUUUUUAGGACUUGUGAGAAGAUUGGCUUGUGUUCUUUUGUUGUUCUUGUUGCUUGGUUGGCUUUCUUUUUUCUCUCAUUCUUACUCUCAAAGCCUUGUAAGCAAAGCAAGAGACACCAAUUGUGUGGUGGUCCUUGCGGGGUCUAAGUGACCCGAGAAAUCAAGGAAGGAAGCUCACUCGGUCUAAGUGACCGUUUGAGAGAGGGAAAGGGUUGAAAGAGACCCGGUCUUUGUGACCACCUCAACGGUGAGUAGGUUUGCAAGAACCGAACCUCGGUAAAACAAAUCACCGUGUCAUCCGCUCUUAUUCGCUUGUGAUUUGUUUUCACCCUCUUUUUUGGACUCGAUUAUAUUUCUAGCACUAACCCCGGCUUGUAGUUGUGCUUAAAGUUUAUAAAUUUCAGAUUUGCCUAUUCACCUGCCCUCUAGGCGACUUUCAAUUGGUAUCAGAGCCCGGUACUUUAUCAAGAGCCUAACCGCUCGAAGUGAUGUCGGGAGCUCACGCCAAGAAGGAGAUGGUGACCGGCGAGAAGCCCGCCACAAGCCACGGGAAGGCUCCAUCGGGGGAGUCCGGCAACAAGAAGAGGGAGGAAUCACCUCCCCACGUUAAGUCGCACCGGAGUGGCGACAAGAAGAAGAAAAUGAAGAAAGUGGUCUACUACGAGACUGAUUCUUCGUCGCCUUCCACCUCCAGCUCCGACGUGUCGUCCGUCACUUCUAAGCGCCAUGAGCGCAAGAAGUUUAGUAAGAUCCCCUUACGCUAUCCUCGCAUUUCCAAACGCACCCCUUUACUUUCCGUCCCACUAGGCAAACCACCGGUUUUUGACGGUGAAGAUUAUUGUAUGUGGAGUGAUAAAAUGAGGCACCAUCUAACCUCACUCCACGCUAGUAUUUGGGACAUUGUUGAGUUUGGUGCACAGGAACCAUUCGUAGGGGAUGAAGGCUAUGACUCGGACGAGGUAGCCCAAAUCCGGCACUUCAACUCCCAAGCCACUGCUAUACUCCUCGCCUCUCUAAGUCGAGAGGAGUAUAAUAAGGUGCAAGGUUGAAGAGUGCCAAAGAGAUUUGGGACGUACUCAAGACCGCACACGAAGGAGACGAGGUGACCAAGAUCACCAAGAGGGAAACGAUCGAGGGGGAGCUCGGUCGCUUGAUGCUUCACCAAGGAGAGGAGCCACAAGCCAUGUACAACCGGCUCAAGACCUUGGUGAACCAAGUGUGCAACCUCAGGAGCACCAAAUGGGAUGACCAUGAAAUGGUCAAUGUUAUUCUAAGAUCACUUGUAUUUCUUAAUCCUACACAAGUUCAAUUAAUUCAUGGUUAUGUCUCUCGAGGAGGUUAUAGGAAAAUUUGUGAGCUUUGAAUUGAUGAUCAAAGGCUCCAAGAAAAUCAUCGAGCAAGGCGCCUCCUCCACACCCGAGAUGCAACUCGUCGCAUUCAAGGCGACAGAGGAGAAGAAAGAAGAGUCUACAUCAAGUAGACUCCCCAUCGACGCCUCCAAGCUCAACAACGAGGAGAUGGCGCUCAUCAUCAAGAGCUUUCGCCAAAUUCUCAAGCAAAGGAGGGGAAAGGACUACAAGCCCCGCUCCAAGAAAGUUUGCUACAAGUGUGGUAAGCCCGGUCAUUUUAUUGCAAAAUGUCCAUUAUCAAGUGAUAGUGACAGGGGCGACGACAAGAAGGGGAGAAUAAAGGAGAAGAAGAAAUAUUACAAGAAGAAGGGCGGCGAAGCCCAUGUAUGCCGCGAGUGGGACUUCAACGAGAGCUCCACCGACUCCUCCUCCGACGAGGACGCCGCUAACAUCGCCGUCAACAAGGGCCUCCUCUUUCCCAACAUCGGCCACAAGUGCCUCAUGGCAAAGGACGACAAAAAGAAGGUAAAAUCUAGAGCCUCCACUAAACAUGCAACAUCUAGUGAUGAUAACUCUAGUGAUAAUGAGGAUAAUUUACUUGCCCUUUUUGCCAACCUUAACAUGCAACAAAAAGAAACGUUAAAUGAAUUGAUUAGUGCUAUUCAUGAGAAGGAUGAACUUUUGGAUACCCAAGAGGACUUCCUUAUUAAGGAAAAUAAGAAGUGAAAGUCGCCUAGAGGGGGGGUGAAUAGGGUGAAUCUGAAAUUUAGAAACUUUAACACAACUACAAGCUGGAGUUAGCGUUAGAAAUAUAAACGAGUCCAAAAGAGAGGGCGAAAACAAAUCACAAGCGAAUAAGAGCGGAUGACACGGUGAUUUGUUUUACUGAGGUUCGGUUCUUGCAAACCUACUCCCCGUUGAGGUGGUCACAAAGACCGGGUCUCUUUCAACCCUUUCCCUCUCUCAAACGGUCACUUAGACUGAGUGAGCUUCUCUCUCAAUCAAACGGGACACUAAGUCCCCACAAUGACCACCACACAAUUGGUGUCUCUUGCCUUGGUUACAAUUGAGUUGGAAUCAAGAAAGAAUGAAGAAGAAAAGCAAUCCAAGCGCAAGAGCUCAAAUGAUCAUAGGUAUCUCUCUCUCACUAGUCACUAUUUGAUUGGAAUUGUCUUUGGACUUGGGAGAGGAUUUGAUCUCUUUGGUUGUGUAUUGUAUUGAAUGCUAUAGCUCUUGUAUGAGGUGUGAAGGCUGAAAACUUGGAUGCCAUGAAUGGUGGGUGGUUGGGGUUAUUUAUAGCCCCAACCACCAAAGGAGCCGUUGGUGGAGGCUGCUAUCGCAUGGCGCACCGGACAGUCCGGUGCGCCACCAGACAGUGUCCGGUGCGCCAGCCACGUCACCUGACCAUUAGGGUUCGACCGUUGGAGCUUCUGUCUUCUGGGCCACCGGACAGUCCGGUGGUGCACCGGACAGUCACUGUUCACUGUCCGGUGCGCCUUUUGGCUCUGCUCUGACUUCUAUGCGCACUGUAGCGCAUUAACUGCUCUCUGCAGACGACCGUUGGCGCGAAGUAGCCGUUGCUCCGCUGGCACACCGGACAGUCCGGUGCUAGACCGGACAGUCCGGUGAAUUAUAGCGGAGCGGCUCCCAGAAUUCCCGAAGGUGAGCAGUUUGGAGUUGGGUUCCCUGGUGCACCAGACACUGUCCGGUGGUGCACUGAACACUGUCCGAUGGCACACCGGACAGUCCGGUGCGCCAGACCAGGGCACACUUCGGUAGUCUUUUGCUCUCUUUGUUUGAACCCUUUCUUGGUCUUUUUAUUGGUUUAUUGUGAACCUUUGGCAUCUGUAAAACUUAUAGUCUAGAGCAAACUAGUUAGUCCAAUUAUUUGUGUUGGGCAAUUCAACCACCAAAAUCAAUUAGGAAAAGGUGUAAGCCUAUUUCCCUUUCAAUCUCCCCCUUUUUGGUGAUUGAUGCCAACACAAACCAAAGCAAAUAUAUAAGUGCAUAAUUGAACUAGUUUGCAUAAGGUAAGUGCAAAGGUUGCUUGGAAUGAAACCAAUGAUUAUUUCUACUAGAUAUGCAUGGAUGGCUUUCUUCUGAAUUAAAAUUUUGAACCACGCUUGCACCACUUGUUUUGUUUUGCAAUGUUUUGGAAAUUCUUUUUCAAAAAUCUUUUGCAAAUAGUCAAAGGUAUAUGAGUAAGAUUUUGAGAAGCAUUUUCAUUUGAAAUUUUCUCCCCCUGUUUCAAAUGCUUUUCCUUUGUCUAAACAAAACUCCCACUUAAUGAAAUCCUCCUCUUAGUGUUCAAGAGGGUUUUAGAUAUUAAUUUUGAAGAGGGUAUACCAAUUUGAAAUUGUAUCAAAAAUAAGAUACCAAUAGAAAAAUCUCUUAACACAAAUUUGAAAGUCUACAUUUUUGAAAUUGGUGGUGGUGCGGUCCUUUUGCUUUGGGCUAAUACUUUCUCCCCCUUUGGCAUGAAUCGCCAAAAAUGGAUACUUGUGAGUGAAAUAUAAGCCCUUUAAACUACUUUCUCCCCUUAUGGUAAAUAAUAUAGGAGUGAAGAUUAUACCACAUUUGGAGAGCGUUGUGGAGCGACGGCGAGGGAUGAAUAAUUCGAUGGAGUGGAGUGGAAGCCUUUGUCUUCGUCGAAGACUCCAAUUCCCUUUCAAUCUAUGACUUAGCAUGAAAUGUACUUGAAACCACAUUAGUCAUAGCACAUGAAAGAGAUAUGAUCAAAGGUAUAUAUAUGAGCUAUGUGUGCAAAAUAUCAAUCAAAAUUCCUAGAAUCAAGAAUAUUUAGCUCAUGCCUAAGUUUGGUAAAAGUUUGCUCAUCUAAUGGCUUGGUAAAGAUAUCAACUAAUUGUUCUUUGGUGUUAACAUAUGCAAUCUCGAUAUCCCCCUUUUGUUGGUGAUCCAUUAAAAAAUGAUACCGAAUGGCUAUGUGUUUAGUGCGACUAUGCUCAACGGGAUUAUCCGCCAUGCGGAUUGCACUCUCAUUAUCACAUAGAAGAGGAACUUUGGUUAAUUUGUAACCAUAGUCCCUAAGGGUUUGCCUCAUCCAAAGCAAUUGCGCGCAACAAUGGCCUGCGGCAAUAUACUCGACUUCGGCGGUAGAAAGAGACACAGAAUUUUGCUUCUUUGAAGCCCAAGACACCAGAGAUCUUCCCAAGAACUGGCAAGUCCCUGAUGUGCUCUUUCUAUUAAUUUUACACCCUGCCCAAUCAGCAUCGGAAUAACCAAUUAAAUCAAAUAUGGAUCCCCUGGGGUACCAAAGACCAAACUUAGGAGUAUAAACUAAAUAUCUCAAGAUUUGUUUUACGGCCCUAAGGUGAACUUCCUUAGGAUCGGCUUGGAAUCUUGCACACAUGCAUACAGAAAGCAUAAUAUCCGGUCGUGAUGCACAUAAAUAGAGUAAGGAACCUAUCAUCGACCGGUAUACCUUUUGAUCUACGGAUUUACCUCCCGUGUCGAGGUCGAGAUGCCCAUUAGUUCCCAUGGGUGUCUUGAUGGGCUUUGCAUCCUUCAUCCGACUAUAGAAGAGUGAAAUGCUUUAUCAAAGGAAAUAAGAAAAAAGAAAGGGUAUGUUGCUACUCUUUUGAAAGAAAAAAGAAUAGGAGUUCCCGAAGUAAUGUCUAAACCCAAGGAUUUCACAAAUCAAAGAUAAAGGAUUCCGGAACAAGUAAACACGAUUUUCAACUGUCUCAACAAUAGAAUUAGAUCUGAAUAAGGAAUAAAAGUCAAUUUGUUCGAGAUGAGAUAAAGAAAAGAGUUUAGAGACGACUCAAAAAAUUUCGAAGGGUUUUUCUUUUGAAACUUUGUAAGUAUGUCUUGAAUGUACUUCGUUUGGCUAAUGAAGGUGCCCUCUUGGAGUUGCUUCACUUGAAAUCCUAAGAAAUACUUCAAC